CCCCUUCAUGGAUCACUGCCUUGUCGUGGCGAAGGGGCUUAUGUAACUCAAUGAAGCUAUGAGUCAUGCUGUGCAGGGCCACCCAAGACAGAUGGGUCAUAGCAGAGAGUUCUGACAAAACGUGAU
rnacentral:ribozyme from 1 species